rnacentral:rRNA from 1 species
AUUGAACGCUAACGGCAUGCUUAACACAUGCAAGUCGAACGGCAGCACAGUAGUAGCAAUACUAUGGGUGGCGAGUGGCGGACGGGUGAGUAAUACAUAGGAAUCUGCCUUGUAGUGGGGGAUAACCCGGGGAAACUCGGGCUAAUACCGCAUAAUCUUUACGAAGCAAAGUGGGGGACCGUAAGGCCUUACGCUAUAAGAUGAGCCUAUGUCGGAUUAGCUAGUUGGUGGGGUAAAGGCCUACCAAGGCAACGAUCCGUAGCUGGUCUGAGAGGAUGAUCAGCCACACUGGAACUACCAAACGGUCCAGACUCCUACGGGAGGCAGCAAAAAAAGGUAUUGGACAAUGGGCGAAAGCAAAAGACAGCAAUGCCGUGUGUGUGAAGAAGGCCUUCGGGUUGUAAAGAAAGGGGAGUGGAGAAACAAAGGGAAAGAAGAAUAACCUCGAAUGCUGACGUUAUACACAGAAAAAGCACUGGCUAACUCUGUGCCAGCCGCCGCCGUAA